rnacentral:rRNA from 1 species
AGUGAACGCUGGCGGUAGGCCUAACACAUGCGAGUCGAACGGCAGCACAGUAAGAGCUUGCUCUUACGGGUGGCGAGUGGCGGACGGGUGAGGAAUACAUCGGAAUCUACUUUUUCGUGGGGGAUAACGUAGGGAAACUUACGCUAAUACCGCAUACGACCUACGGGUGAAAGCAGGGGAUCUUCGGACCUUGCGCGAUUGAAUGAGCCGAUGUCGGAUUAGCUAGUUGGCGGGGUAAAGGCCCACCAAGGCGACGAUCCGUAGCUGGUCUGAGAGGAUGAUCAGCCACACUGGAACUGAGACACGGUCCAGACUCCCACGGGAGGCAGCAGUGGGGAAUAUUGGACAAUGGGCGCAAGCCUGAUCCAGCCAUACCGCGUGGGUGAAGAAGGCCUUCGGGUUGUAAAGCCCUUUUGUUGGGAAAGAAAAGCAGCAGGUUAAUACCCCGCUGUUCUGACGGUACCCAAAGAAUAAGCACCGGCUAACUUCGUG